rnacentral:rRNA from 1 species
GAUGAACGCUGACAGAAUGCUUAACACAUGUAAGUCUACUUGAACUUCGGUUUGGGUGGCGGACGGGUGAGUAACGCGUAAAGAACUUGCCUCACAGUUAGGGACAACAUUUGGAAACGAAUGCUAAUACCUGAUAUUAUGAUUUUAGGGCAUCCUAAGAUUAUGAAAGCUAUAUGCGCUGUGAGAGAGCUUUGCGUCCCAUUAGCUAGUUGGAGAGGUAACGGCUCACCAAGGCGAUGAUGGGUAGCCGGCCUGAGAGGGUGAACGGCCACAAGGGGACUGAGACACGGCCCUUACUCCUACGGGAAGCAGCAGUGGGGAAUAUUGGACAAUGGACCAAAAGUCUGAUCCAGCAAUUCUGUGUGCACGAUGACGUUUUUCGGAAUGUAAAGUGCUUUCAGUUGGGAAGAAAAAAAUGACGGUACCAACAGAAGAAGUGACGGCUAAAUACGUGCCAGCAGCCGCGGUAAUACGUAUGUCACAAGCGUUAUCCGGAUUUAUUGGGCGUAAAGCGCGUCUAGGUGGUUAUGUAAGUCUGAUGUGAAAAUGCAGGGCUCAACUCUGUAUUGCGUUGGAAACUGCAUGACUAGAGUACUGGAGAGGUAAGCGGAACUACAAGUGUAGAGGUGAAAUUCGUAGAUAUUUGUAGGAAUGCCGAUGGGGAAGCCAGCUUACUGGACAGAUACUGACGCUAAAGCGCGAAAGCGUGGGUAGCAAACAGG